AUGACUCUGACCUUCAUUUUUCUCACUGGCAGGAUGAGAAUGAUAAUUCCUCCCUCACAGGGGGUUGUAAAGAUAAAAGAGGCAGUGCCUGCUAAGCACCGGGUCCCUGCUUGGCCCACCACAGGGAUGCGUGACAUGCCCACUCCCUUUCCCUACUCCUCCCUCUCUCUUUUUAGGGAAGAACAAGUUUCGCCAUGUCUGCUGAAAAGUCCCUGCAACCUGCUGACUUUGUUUAUGCACCGUUCUGGUGAAGGUUUAAAGCUCAAUAUCUCAAGGAGUGCUGGAGCUCCCUCUCCGCUGCAUACAGAAUUGCAAAGAUGCUACACCUUGCUCCUUCCCGGCAGCAUUGAGCAGUUCACAGAGCCACGAGUUUCCAUCAUCUCCUCCACUCUGAGGGUCUGGCAGCAAGAUCCUGGGAGGACCCACAGCGCUGUCUGACCUUAACCUGUAUCCUCUCCCAGGAGCCCAGGGUGAGCCACCAGCCCUAGGCUAGGGGAGCCCACCCUUUCCUUCUCAGGGAGCACAGGUAAGCCCCUCCUUAAUGCUGUGUAGCUCUGUAUCAGUUGACCGUGGAGUGAAAGUGCCACCUGUCUCAGUCUGGUCACAGGGGCAUGCAGCCCAGAGUUGACUUGGGAGGCAGCAUUGAUGAAGCCUUCAUCUCUCUCCUUCAAUUCAGGCCUCGGGCAAGCGUCCAUGUUAUGUGGUAUUCUCCCCAUACUGCAGGUUGGAAUACUGAGGCUUGAAUGAGCUCUCACAGCCAGUGAGAGAUAGAAUCCAAUAUUGAACUGAUGUUUUUCUGACUCUCCAGUUGGAGACACCAGUCCGCAUGCCUCUCCUUUUUCCUUGCCCAGCUGCCUGUAGGUCUGUGUGGAGAAAAGCAACCAAGGGUCCUUCCUACAUCACAUGAGGCUUUUCAGAGAGACUGGGGAACUCCACACGUGCUUCAUGCUUCCGUUCCCCUGAUAGAUACCUUUUGCUAUCCUCUGCCCCACCUCAGAAAAUUAAAUGAUUAUAGAGCAAUCUGAUGAGUGCAUUUUAUUCCUUGGGCACCAUCUCAGAGGCUCACCCCGUCUCCUGAGCAGCAUAUUAAAGCUUUCCUUCCCAAGAAAUUACUUAGAUUGAAUGGAAGAAUUUUCUUCCCAGAAUUUCUCAUUAUGUGUAAAGUAGCACCCAUGCCUGGGGGUUGUUGGGAGGUAGAUGUGUUUAGUGGGGUGCCUGGUGCCCAGUGAGUCCUCAGUGACUGUACAUGAUUCUAGUCACUGUCAGCCUCCUCAGGUGAGGUGCUGUUUGUGUCUUCAGUGAGCAGGAGGAUGCACUUCACUUCAAAGCUGAACUGAGUUGUGGAAAGGUAAUUAUGAAACACAGGUUCUCUGUGACAGCUGAGGCCAAAGAGGAAUUGUUUCAGCAGCACUAUCCAAUAGAACCACACACUGUCCAACACACUAGCCACCAGGCGCAUGUGGCUAUUGAGCACUUGAAGCCUGGGGAGUGCAAAUAAGCACUCAAAAUUUUAAUUUUAAUUCAUUUAAAUUUAGCUGCAUGUGGCUAGUGGCUACUGAUUUGAAUAGCACAGAUGUAGUCCUCAUUUUUCAGUGACUGAUGGAAGGUAUAAGAACUUUAACCAUAGCACAUAUAAAUACUCGAACACGAUUUAUUGCUAGAAUACACACCCCAGUGAAGAUAAGAAAUAUGGUAGUGAGGUAACAAAAGAUUUGCUGAUCAUUCCUUGGAGGUAACAUGCUAAGACAAACACUAAUAACUAAUUCCUGACUUCGUGUUGGUAAAGGACUCCUGCAGAAGGACUAUGACAGUCACAUCUGUUUAAGUUAGGCUGGUGAUGUUCUCAAUCCCAAAGUGAAAUGGGAGUGAGGGAAUUUGGGCCCCUUUGAAUCCGAACACUAUAGGCAAGUUUCCAUUAAUGUUUCUCUUAGACACAGUGCAAACCAUCCCUUAAAAAUAUACAAUGUGCAAUAAAUGCCUUUACCUUUUAACUUAGUAACUCAAUUUACAGGAAUUUAUACUGAAAAAAUAACUCCCAAGUAAGGAAAUAAAAUUUUAUGCACAAAGAUGUUAAUUAUAGUGAUACUUACAUUGGUAGACCCUUGGAAACAAGCCACAUGUUCAUAAGAGAAGGGCUAAAGAACUACACAAUUAAAUAUUGAAAACAAAUCAAAUGAUUAAGAAGAAAAUGGCUAAGAAAUUAUAUGAUAUCAAUGUAAUAGAAUAUUCUGUAACCCUUAAAAUCAUAUUUAUAAGGGUAAGUUUUUAAAAAGCAGAAUUGUAUAUACAGAAAGUUCUCAAGUGUUUUAAAAUGCAUAGAAAAAAGACAAAAUAAAUGAAGUGUUCCAGUAGACUUCUGCAUCUGGGAAGAUGCAGUAGAAAUACUUUUACUUUUUCUCCCACUAAGCAAAGUAAAAGCUCUGGACAGCAUAUAUGAAACAAACACAAGAAGACUCUGAAAGAUGGGGAAAAGCAGGCAGAUCAGCUAGAGACCUCUGGACCCAACGAAUGAUUUGUUGGUGAGUUCUCUGGAUAUUCUUUUUGUCUCAUAUAUACCCAACUCCGAGCUGAAGAAGCUGGCAACCCAGAAACACCAAUGGGUACAAAUUUUAAAAAACCCCAACAAAAGCCCGAUCUCUUCAGCUAAACGACCGGGAAGAAGGUGGACUAUCAACACAGCACAUUUUUAGAUAGUAACUCCUUUACUCCAGCCACCACAGAAAACGUGUCUCCCCAUCCCAACUCAUGCAAGCAAAGGCUGAAUGGGGAGCAUAGAUUUCCACCUUCUUGAGACUGUAGUGAGGCAUUUCAACGCCCCAUCAGGGUGGUGUCAGAGAAGGCCAAAUAGGGAGCUGGGACUCUCACCCCCACCAGACAGUAAUGAGAACUUCCUCCCCGGGAAAACAGAAGAUUUAGAUAAUAGAUAGAGACUUACAGAAAGAAAGUGUCCAGGUUUCAAUAGAAAAUCACCUGUAAUACCAAGAACCAGGACAAUAUCAACUGAAUGAAAAAGGCAAUCAAUAGAUGCCAACAUAAUCAACCCGUAGGAUGUAAUAGACAUUUACGGAACACUUCACCUGGACAGCAGAAUACACAUUCUUUUCAAGUGCACUUGGAACACAGACCAAGAUGGACUCCAUCCUGGGCCGUUGGAGCAAACCUCCACAAAUGUCAAGGAACUGAAAUCAGAAAGAGUGUAUUCACUGACCACACUGAAAUCAAACUGGCAAUCAGUAAACAGAAAGAUAAC
rnacentral:lncRNA from 1 species